GAGAAGUAGCUAGGAAUAGAGGAGUUACAAUGUCGCCACUGCACUAAUGAAAUUUUAACGAGCUGGUGUAUUUCUAUUACCGUGGGAGGCCGAAGAAUGCUCACACCGGCAAGUGUUCCGGGAGCAAACAAGUGACCGUCCUACACGUGCCAGGAAUGCCGUUGGUUGCCAUGGUUACUGAAUUACGUGGCCUGUCAUGCAUGACGUGAUUGUGCGAUGACAAAUUACCAUUCAUGGAGGGGAGGGGUGUGUACGCGUUUUCGAUAUCGGGCAGCUCGUCAAACUCGUGUAGAAACUUACUGUUGAGGAACAACGAGUUGGGAUAAGUACUUUGACGUAUUCUAACCAACAAUUUAUCCGCAGGCUGUGGGUGCAGCAUUUUCUCAGAAAACAUAAAGCAUCAUCAUCACCAUCAUCAUCAUCAUCAUCAUCAUCAUCCUUAUCCUUAUUGUCAUCACCAUCAUAACCAUCCCAUCCUCACCACCACCAUCUCCGAUUUUUUCUUCAGAUAUUUUUUCUACACUAUUUCUAGGACCUGGUAUUUUUACACAAAAACUAGCACAACUAAACCGACCAAUCACUUAGAAAUCACUUAGAAUCACGAAGAAAACAGGUUAUUACGACAAAUCACCUUUCUCUGUCUUGCUCGCUAGUUACCAGGUCAUGUGGAAUGGACGGCGGUUGGCGAACACACAGGACUACCGCGAGCCAUCUUAGCACGAUUACAUCAACCCAUUUUGGCAUCUCGACAACUAGCGUGGUACCGGAAUUCCUGUGGUGAAUGUUCAAGACCCAGCACGUGGCCAUCAGAGACACGGCUAUCUCGGUCAUGAUGGUGAUGUAAAAUCUCCCAAGUAGCGGUAUGCUCUCCGAGUUGCGCGGGAGGGUCUCUGCGACGAGCUGUCGAGUAGUGCAAAAGAUGAUAAAAUGUAUAAUUGAUAAAGUAAAUAAGCCGCAUUAUU